AUGGUAGGAUAGAGGCCUACCAUGGUGGUAACGGGUAACGGGGUGUUAGGGCACGACACCGGAGAGGGAGCCUGAGAAACGGCUACCACAUCCAAGGAUGGCAGCAGGCGCGCAAAUUACCCAAUCCCGACACGGGGAGGUAGUGACAAUAAAUAACAAUACGGGUUCUUUAGGAUCUCGUAAUUGGAAUGAGUACAAUUUAAAUCUCUUAACGAGGAACAAUUGGAGGGCAAGUCUGGUGCCAGCAGCCGCGGUAAUUCCAGCUCCAAUAGCGUAUAUNAAAGUUGUUGCAGUUAAAAAGCUCGUAGUUGAAUUUCGGGGUCAGUAGGUCGGUCGUGCCACUGGUAUGAACUGGUUUUACUGAUUCCUCCCUCUUGAAGAACUGUAAUGCCAUUAAUUUGGUGUUGCAGGGAAUCAGGACUGUUACUUUGAAAAAAUUAGAGUGUUUAAAGCAGGCUUUAGCUUGAAUACAUUAGCAUGGAAUAAUGAAAUAGGACGUUUGAUCCUAUUUUGUUGGUUUCUAGGAUUGACGUAAUGAUUAAUAGGGAUAGUUGGGGGCAUUAGUAUUCAAUUGUCAGAGGUGAAAUUCUUGGAUUUAUUGAAGACUAACUACUGCGAAAGCAUUUGCCAAGGAUGUUUUCAUUAAUCAAGAACGAAAGUUAGGGGAUCGAAGACGAUCAGAUACCGUCGUAGUCUUAACCAUAAACUAUGCCGACUAGGGAUCGGAUGAUGUUAAUUUUUUAAUGACUCAUUCGGCGCCUUACGGGAAACCAAAGUGUUUGGG
rnacentral:rRNA from 1 species